rnacentral:rRNA from 1 species
AGUGGCGAACGGGUGAGUAACACGUGAGCAACGUGCCCAAGACUCUGGAAUAACUUCGGGAAACCGGAGCUAAUACUGGAUACGAGACGUAAAGGCAUCUUUAGCGUCUGGAAAGAAUUUCGGUCUUGGAUCGGCUCACGGCCUAUCAGCUUGUUGGUGAGGUAAUGGCUCACCAAGGCGACGACGGGUAGCCGGCCUGAGAGGGCGACCGGCCACACUGGGACUGAGACACGACCCAG